AGGGGAACCUGAUCAGCCAUCCCGCGUGUGCGAUGAAGGCCUUCGGGUUGUAAAGCCUUUUGGCAGGAAAGAAAUCGCACGGGACAAUACCCCGAUGCUGGAUGACGGUACCUGCAGAAUAAGCACCGGCUAACUACGUGCCAGCAGCCGCGGUAAUACGA
rnacentral:rRNA from 1 species